rnacentral:rRNA from 1 species
AACGAACGCUGGCGGCAGGCUUAACACAUGCAAGUCGAACGGGUGUAGCAAUACACCAGUGGCAGACGGGUGAGUAACACGUGGGAACCUUCCUAGGGGGUACGGAACAACUCAGGGAAACUUGAGCUAAUACCGUAUACGUCCGUAAGGAGAAAGAUUCAUCGCCCCUAGACGGGCCCGCGUCGGAUUAGGUAGUUGGUGGGGUAACGGCCUACCAAGCCUACGAUCCGUAGCUGAUCUGAGAGGAUGAUCCAGCCACACUGGGACUGAGACACGGCCCAGACUCCUACGGGAGGCAGCAGUGGGGAAUCUUGGACAAUGGGCGCAAGCCUGAUCCAGCCAUGCCGCGUGAGUGAAGAAGGCCUUAGGGUUGUAAAGCUCUUUUACCAGGGACGAUAAUGACGGUACCUGGAGAAUAAGCCCCGG